GCCCCUGUGCACCUAUAAUUUAGUUUUUCUGGUGGUUUAUUUUUUUCCAAAACAUGGACUAUAGAAGUGGCGGGGUAUAAUUUCGUUAAUUCUUUCCUCAAUACCUAAAGUUUUUAAACAAAGCUUUCUCUAUCUAUUUUUUGUCAUUUUAAAAGAGACAGGCUUGAUGUAUGUAAUCACCAAUUGAUCAACGGUAGACGGUGUAAAUAGUCUUUAAAAAUGUAAUAGUUAAACAGAUAACUGCAACGACACACUAAUACAAAGUCCACAAGCGAAUCAUGUAUUGCUUUUUAGGCAUUUGAUUUUAAGUAAGACUGACGGAACAAAAAUAUUUUUGCCGUCUA
rnacentral:lncRNA from 1 species